GAUGAACGCUGGCGGCGUGCCUAAUACAUGCAAGUCGAGCGAACAGACGAGGAGCUUGCUCCUCUGACGUUAGCGGAGGACGGGUGAGUAACACGUGGAUAACCUACCUAUAAGACUGGGAUAACUUCGGGAAACCGGAGCUAAUACCGGAUAAUCUAUUGAACCGCAGGGUUCAAUAGUGAAAGACGGUUUUGCUGUCACUUAUAGAUGGAUCCGCGCCGCAUUAGCUAGUUGGUAAGGUAACGGCUUACCAAGGCGACGAGGCGUAGACGACCUGAUAGGGGGAUCGGCCACCCUGGAACUGGGCCACGGUCCAGGCUCCUACGGGAGGCAGCAGUAGGGAAUCUUCCGCAAUGGGCGGAAGCCUGACGGAGCAACGCCGCGUGAGUGAUGGAGGUCUUCGGAUCGUAAAACUCUGUUAUUAGGGAAGAACAAAUGUGUAAGUAACUAUGCACGUCUUGACGGUACCUAAUCAGAAAGCCACGGCUAACUACGUG
rnacentral:rRNA from 1 species